rnacentral:tRNA from 1 species
GGAGAGAUACCCACAGCGGCCCAGUGGGGGCCGGAGCUCGUCUCCGGCCUGGGGUUCACGCCCCACGCAGGUUCGAAUCCUGCUCUCUCCG